rnacentral:misc_RNA from 1 species
UUUACUGAGUUUGAAUGUGUUAUUGUUUUGAUUCUUAAUGCUAGAAAAUGCCUCACUUAAAUGUGUAAAUGUGCUUGUCAUUGAUAGUAUUCUGAUAAUUAUACAUUGCAAUCAGAGAAAAUCUUGCAAUUAUGGCUUUAACUCUUUUUCCUUCUUCUCUGCUUUUCUUUUUUCCUUUUGUGGAUAGCUGUCUCCUAAUUGUCACCUAAGUUCCCUACAGUAACAUGAGCAAUAAAUAUGCUAAUAAUACGACUGAUAUGUUAACUGUUUGUG